UUCCUGUUGAUUAGCGGCGGACGGGUGAGUAACACGUGGGCAACCUGCCUGUAAGACUGGGAUAACACCGGGAAACCGGUGCUAAUACCGGAUAAUCCUUUUCCUCUCAUGAGGAAAAGCUGAAAGUCGGUUUCGGCUGACACUUACAGAUGGGCCCGCGGCGCAUUAGCUAGUUGGUGAGGUAACGGCUCACCAAGGCGACGAUGCGUAGCCGACCUGAGAGGGUGAUCGGCCACACUGGGACUGAGACACGGCCCAGACUCCUACGGGAGGCAGCAGUAGGGAAUCUUCCACAAUGGACGAAAGUCUGAUGGAGCAACGCCGCGUGAGCGAUGAAGGCCUUCGGGUCGUAAAGCUCUGUUGUUAGGGAAGAACAAGUACCGGAGUAACUGCCGGUACCUUGACGGUACCUAACCAGAAAGCCACGGCUAACUACGUGCC
rnacentral:rRNA from 2 species